rnacentral:rRNA from 1 species
UACGUAGGGCGCAAGCGUUGUCCGGAAUUAUUGGGCGUAAAGAGCUCGUAGGCGGCUUGUCGCGUCUGCUGUGAAAUCCCGAGGCUCAACCUCGGGCUUGCAGUGGAUACGGGCAGGCUAGAGUGCGGUAGGGGAGACUGGAAUUCCUGGUGUAGCGGUGGAAUGCGCAGAUAUCAGGAGGAACACCGAUGGCGAAGGCAGGUCUCUGGGCCGAUACUGACGCUGAGGAGCGAAAGCGUGGGGAGCGAACAGG